rnacentral:rRNA from 1 species
UACGGGGGGGGGCAAGCGUUGUUCGGAAUUACUGGGCGUAAAGGGCGCGUAGGCGGUUCGCUAAGUUGGAUGUGAAAACUCUGGGCUCAACCCAGAGCCUGCAUCCAAAACUGGCGGGCUAGAGUUCUGGAGGGGAUAGCGGAAUUCCUGGUGUAGCGGUGAAAUGCGUAGAUAUCAGGAGGAACACCGGUGGCGAAGGCGGCUAUCUGGACAGAGUCUGACGCUGAGGCGCGAAAGCUAGGGGAGCAAACAGG